rnacentral:lncRNA from 1 species
CCUCACCCAAAUUUCAUGUCAAAUUGAGAUCCCCAAUGUUGAGGGUAGGGCCUGGUGGGAGGUGACUGGCUCGGGGGGUGGUUUCUAAUGAUUUAUCACCAUCCCCUGUAGUUGUCUUGUGAUAGAGGUCUCCUGAGAUUUGCUUGUUUAAAAAUGUGUAGCAUCUCCCCUUUUCUCUCUCUCCUGCCAGGCAUGUGAAUGAGGGCCUGCUUCUCCUUCCCCUUCCGCCAUGAUGACAGCAUCUCCCUUCCACUAAGGCUGGACUGUAGCAGCAUAAUCAUGGCUCACUGCAGCCUCAAACUCCUGGGCUCAAGCAAUCCUCCUGCCUUAGCCACCCAAGUAGCUGGGAUGACAGAGGCAUGCCACCACACGUGGUUCCUAGCAAACUUCUUAAUAUCCUCAUGAGUUAUUGGGAUAGACUGAUUGCAGAAACAGCCACAAUCCUCCAUCCCUCCCAGUCCACGCCCUCUGCAUCAUCAAUCCACACUCUCUGCAAUGUGACUGUGUAGCUCCUCCUGCCAAGAGACAGAAUCAAUUUCCCCACCCUUUGAAUAUGGGCCGGCCCUGAAAUUGCUUUAAACAAUGUUUAUUGAAAGUGACAAUGUGCCAACUCCAUACUUUGGUCUUAAGAAGCCUCGUGUCUUCCACUUUCUCUCUUAAACCCCUGCUUCUGCCAUGAGAACAAGCUGUGUCUAGCCAAUGGAGAAUGAAAGAUCACACACAGCAGAGCUGAAUUGUCCCAGCAGAGGCCACCCCCGGCCUGCCAGCCUCCAGCCAACCUGCGAGCAGACCUGAGAUGCAUAAGCAACCAGACUCACGAGAAAUAAUACAUGUUGUUUUAAGGCAUAUGUUUUCAGGUAGUCUAUUUCUGUUCUAAUAUUUAUUGUCAAGUAACACACCACCCUAAAACCUUAGUGACUUAAAAUAAUGUAUUAUAUACUCAUGUAAUACCAUCUCCCAAGGUUCUGUGCAUUAACUAGUCUCAGAGGGGCAAUUUCUACCUGGGAUCUUUCAGAUGAUUACAGUCAGAUGUUGGCUGGGGCUGCAGGCAUCUGAAAGGUUC